GGGAAUGGCAACCUCACCCCACCGUGAAGGAGCCUAGCUGAGGUUUGGGGAAUGCUCUGUGGGCUUUGGUACCACACAGCCUGCCAGCCCAUGACCAUAGGCCCCACCUGGGAGAUUGCUGGGAUGGGCUUCUCCGACCAUUAGAGGGAUGAUCCAACACUGGCUCCCACACCUUGCUUCCAUUUCUGCUCAAGCCACUAGCUCCCUAUCUGCGCCACCCUGAGCACAACAGGAGACAAACGCCCCCCCACCCCCUCCCCUCAUCAAGUUGCAGGGCUAGGGCAGGGGCCGGGUGUGGGAGCAGCCUUGAAGGCUGAUCACAGGCCUAGGACCGCUAAGACCACGCACCCAGAAGCAGCCAUGCCUCACGCUGUGUCUCUGCAAACCCAACCGCUCCUCCAGUGACCCCACCAUGUACUCAAUCACCCUUCCUUUCUCUCUGGCCUCCUGCAGUGUCAGCAUGGCUGGGGGUAUGUGAUUAGCCCACUUAGGCAGUCAACCUCCCGCUAAGACUCAGAAACUCCUGUGCCUGAUAAAUACCAAACAUGAUGACUGUGCAAAGGUCCACUCAAUGCACAUUAAGAGGGGCUGAUAUUUUUGGAGGCCGGUAUGUCCUAGACAUCAUGUUCCCUCCUUCCAGCUCUCAGAGAGACACAUUGCAUAAAUAACAGCAUGUUGGGCUCAGAACCUGUUCACGCCUCCUUUUGCUCGGCGGCAUUGAGCACCGAUUGUGUGCCCGCCACUGUGCUGGGCCGUCACAGUUGGUAUUCCGUUUAUGGAUAAAGGAAGGUCACAAAUAAGCAUUCUUCCAACCCAGCAGCAUCGUUAAUGGUCAACUCAUUCAACAUGAUGGUCCUACUAACUCUGCAGGACAACCCAAUGGUGAAAUAUUCAGAUGAGAAAACUGAGGUUCAGAGAGGACCUGACUCAUGUCAAUUUGAAAUCUCACACAGGUCUGGAAUGAGCCUCAGGGCUUUGGCUUCCUGAUGUCAGUUCUAUGACUUGACAUCAAAGUGUCCUUUAGUUGUUUUAAAUGAUUUUCUUUUUAAAAGGAUAUUUUUACAACUCAUUGAAGAUUUGAUCAAUUUAAAAAGUAGAAAAAAAAUCACACAUGGACUCAUCACAUCAGUAGAGCUAUGGUAACCCCUUGGGGGAAGUCUUAUUUCUUUUCUUUAGGCUCCUGUAAGGGAGAGUGUGUAUGUGUUGUGUAUAUUUCUGAAUAAACGUUAUGUGUGUACAUUUUUGUAAUCAUAGUGUAUAAAUAACAUAGUUAAUAUCAUCACAAGAUCUAGGUAGACUAUAUAUAAAUAUAAUCAUACGUAUGUCCAUAUAAGUAUCUAAGUGUACUAUAAGUAAUCAUAUUAUGUAUAUAUAUAUUCACCAAUCACAUAAAUUUUUAUCUCACUAUAUACAUUUUUAACAUGUCAUUUGAUGGCUGCAUAACUUUUUAAUGAGAGCAGGUACCAUUAUUUUCUUAAUCACUAUUUAUAGAUUUGAGGCAGUGUGGUAUGUUACAGAGAAUGGGAGUUUUGUAACCAGUUGGAUCUGGUUUGACUUCCAGCUCUGCCACCUACUAGCUGGGUAGUUUUGGGCAAAUCCAUCGUCCUAUGAGCUUCAGUUUCAUCACUGGUAAGAUGGCAGCUAUAAUGCAAUACUUAGGGGGUUAUAAGGGAUUAGAGACAUAAAUGUAGAGCACCAGGUGCCUAACAAAAAUGGAGGCAAUUACUGGGAAUUGGGAAUCAAUGCUGUUUCCAUAUUUUCACUAGUAUAAAUAACACUUGAUGAACUUUUAAUUGGGUGAAAAUUUCUAUUUAGAAUUAGUCAACUGGACUCAUCUUAGGUAAUCCCAAUUUUGUUGGCAACAUCCAAAGCAGCACAAUCAGGGGACAGUAGCACAGAUGCCUUUUUUCUCCCUGAGGCCUAAUCAGGGUGUUGAUCUUGGCCGUGUCAAUGUCAUAGAAAUUCUUCCCAGCCUGUCUGAUCUGGUGUUGGUUGGCCUUGACAUCCACGUUUGAUGAAUAUGUUUGUUCUUAAAAUUUCUCCCCUGCACUGUGGAUUACUGAAUGCCUUUCACCCUCAGCGCUAAGGUCUACCUGGCUCUGUCUAAUUCCUUAGCAGUCAGGAGAGCACCAUCCUUCCAGGUGUGCUGUCUUACCUCGUCUGAAGGUACUUUAUCCUGGAAAGCAUGUCAAGAUGUCCGGCGGAAUACUGCUCAAUCACAUCCUUCACAUCAUAAGGCCUCAAAGUCUCCUUGAAUUUUUUUUUAUAGAGACGGAAUUGAAGAAUUCUGCAAGGCAAAGUAGAGACAUUUGUACAUCAAGAGUGGACAGUAAAGGAAAUUAUGAUACAAGAUGAGCAAACUCUGGGGCGGGGGAGGAUAAAACAUCCAAAAAGAAACAACUUGAUGAGAAGUUUCAACUCUUGGUCCUGGUUCUACCUCUUGGAAACACACUGAAUGAGGCUGGCUGGCGUCUCUCCUUCAUGACUACCUCCUUCUACUCAUUUGAAUAAUAAAUUCAUUCAUAGUAACAAUAAGAGCUAACAUUUAUUUCACAUUCAUUACAUGCCAGACACUGAGCUAAGCGCAUUUUUAACAAUUUGCUAAUAGAUCAAUUCACAGAUGAUGCAACUGUGGCCGAGAGAGCUCCAGCAUCUUCCCAGGGCCAUCUAGCUCAUAACGUCAGAGUUUCCUUCAAACCCAGAAGAAGUUUGCCAACCCCUGAACUAAGGCAUCAAUGACAAUGCUAAAAAGGAUGGGGCAGAAGCCAGACCAUGAGGCAUCCCGGCAGAGACCUCCCUCGAGCUUGACACAGAUUCAUUCAUUGGUUUGCUUUGAAUAAGACCAUUCAACCAGUUAUGAAUCCAGGUAGUUGUGUUUUUAUCCAGCCUCAUUUCUGGGACAUUGUACAGGAUGGGAUCACGAGGUACCAGGCCAGCGGCUUUGCUGAGGGUCACAUAUUAUAAACUAUUGUGCUCCCUGAUCUACUGGACUGGGAAUCUUCUGAAAAUAUCACGACUAGUUCUCAGAGACUCUGACUUAGUUUCCAGAAUUCACUGCCACUAUGGUGGAGUGCUUGUAAGCCCAUAUCCUGGUCAAAGUUUCCUUGAAGUAGUAGCAUAUUUUUAUUUUCUUGUGGAAUUCAAAACAAAACAGAAAUAGCCAGGGUGAAUUACAGUCUUGUCUGAAGCAGACAAAAAAAUCCUAUCCGUGAUUAUCUUGUUGAAAAUGCUAAUUAAAAAAGAACUAGAUGGAUGAAGACAGACGGAAGAAAAGCUAUUUUGAGUGAGAAGCCUUAUAAAAGAAAACUCCAUGUCAAUACACCCCUGCCUCUCCAACAUCCUUUAAAAUAAAUGGUGGCCGAAGCCAGACAAGAGGGUGACAAUCGGAAACACUGUCAGGGGCCUGUGGAAGCAUUUUUAUAAAACGGAGAGCAAGGGUCUCCCAGGAUGACCUGCUAAUGCAGCCGCUCCCUUAGAACUGACAUAGUCUCUGGACUUGACUCAGGGGUUACCUGAGGGAUCUUCUGCCCACCUUCCCAAAGCCCAAGAGCACUUUACAAAACCGCACCCUGUGGAGCUGAGCUGGGGCCUCGGGAGGCCCACAGGCAGGGAGGAGGGGGCGUUACCUGACGGCUCGGAUGGCGGCCUUCAGGGUGGGGAUCAUGUCUUCGAUGAGGAAGUCAUUCCCGUAGCCCCUGUCCUCCGCUAUGGGGUCGGCCGUCCCGGCAUCUGGGAGGGAAGGAGACACAUGUCAAGGGCAGGUCACAGUACUCGGAAAGGCUCGGGGACCUGGUUCGGUCAGAGCCAUCCAAACUCAGCCUCCUGCAUCUCCAUUCCCAUUUCAGAAACCCCGAUGCGUCCUCCAGUUGUGACGUCAUUCCGUCAUUCCGACCCUCUCCUCAUCUCCCUUCUGUUAUCCAGAUGUCUGAGUCAGAGGUGCCUGUAGGUCAGGACUGUUGCUGGGGGAGAAGGCUAGGGUGGAGGUGAUGUGAAUUCCAGGGUUCCGGAGUGGCCCUUUGGAGGCAGCAAAGGGACACACGUGGGUGUUUAUCAGACAGACCCGGGUUUGGAUUCUUGCUCUGUCAGUCAUUAUCCUUGUGACCUUGACUUGGGGGGUGGUCACUUUCUGAGCCCUACUCAUCCUCCCUUUUCGUAAGUGAAAGGGGCACACAGAUGUGUUGCUCCUACAGCCCCCAUGGGGCACUUCUCCAACACCUCCUCCCACCCCUGGGGGUGCUGAGUUCCCCAGGUGUCCAGAUCACUCUGCACCGGGCCCCUCUCCAUCCUUCGAGGUGACCUCCAUGGCAAUGCACUCAUCAGGGCCCCCCUUAGGAUCCAUGGCGGUAUGUCCCAAGGCUCCCUGGAGGGGAUGUGCAGACACAUGUGGUGACCCUGGCCCAGGAGAACAGCUAACGUGGGCCCUCUGCUCUUGGAGUGAGUGCAGGGACCUAUCACAG